rnacentral:lncRNA from 1 species
UCCUAAUGUCAGGACAUGUGUAUAUGGCAAGGAGUGAUUCAGGCUCCUAGUCCGCAGACCUUAAGCUAAGAUACUAUCCGGGGCUACUAAGGCAAGUCCAGUUCAAUCACGAGUGUCUUUGUAAUUGGGAAGAAAGAGAGAGAAGAAUCAGGACCAGAGAGAGAUUGUGAGAAAGAUUCAGUCAGCUCUUACCGGUGUUUUUAGAUGAAGGAGGCCGUGAGCCAAAGAAUUCAGGCAAAUUCUGGGAGCUGAAAAAGGCCAAGAAAAAAAGAAGGCUGGAGUUUCCAGAAAAGAAUGCAGCCUAGUGGGGCCCAUCUCAGACCCCUGGCUUUCAUGACGACAAAACAACAGUUUCUCGGGAUGUCUGCUUCCUGCGGAUGGAGUUGUGCACAUCGGGAUCUUUCGAGGCAUUUUCCCAUUUCUUCUGUAUUAUCAAAUGCACAACGCUGUUCCUAAAGCUGUGCACAGGGCCGUGCGUUAACUUCUCACCACUGCGACGAUUACCUGAGAAGAACACUCGAGAGGAGGGAAGAUUUAUUUUGGCUCACAGUUUCAAAGCUUUCAGCCCGGGUUUCUGUCUCCAUUGUUUUUGAGGGAAGCUGGGUUCAGCUGUUCAGGGAGCACGAGGGAUGCAUCCUCUGACCGUCAUCGGCCAUGCUGGAUGGAUCUUUCCGCGAUGCAGCUACCAUUGACGUCACAUCCUGUAAACAGCCCCUCGCUGUUGUCAUGUAUGGAAGCCAAGAAGCUCACGGGGUCACUAUGCAAGAUUGGACUGUUGCAUGUUUCUGUUGUGGGUGCCUUAUCGGGUUGAUAGCCCUCCGUUCUUUCAGGAAAAAAAAAAAAUCACACACAUUUCCUGUACAGAACUAACAGUGAGAUAAAAGGUUUUCUGUUAUCAUCCUGAUAAUGCUUAUAAGUCUCGCUAAUUAACAUCUAUUCGUUUGUUAAUGAGAGUGAAUUUUUCUUGAUUAGUUUGGCCAGAAUUUAAACAAUCUUAUUUUUCU